rnacentral:rRNA from 1 species
UUCGCAAUGCCCGAAAGGGUGACGAAGCGACGCCGCGUGUGGGAAGAAGGCCUUCGGGUUGCAAACCACUGUUGGGAGUUAGGAAGUGUGGAGGUGUUAAUAGCGCUUUCACUUGACUAAAGCUCCAGAGGAAGCCACGGCUAACUCUGUGCCAGCAGCCGCGGUAAUACAGAGGCGGCAAGCGUUGUUCGGAAUUAUUGGGCGUAAAGAGCACGUAGGCGGCUCUGCAAGUCAGCUGUGAAAGCCUUCUGCUUAACGGAAGAACGGCAGUUGAAACUACAGGGCUUGAGUGCGGGAGGGGAGAGUGGAACUUCUGGUGGAGCGGUGAAAUGCGUAGAUAUCAGAAGGAACGCCGGCGGCGAAAGCGGCUCUCUGGUCCGUAACUGACGCUGAGUGUGCGAAAGCUAGGGGAGCAAACGGGAUUAGAUACCCCGGUAGUCCUAGCCGUAAACGAUGGGCACUAAGUAGAGGGGUUUU